CGUCUAGGCGGCAGCCUAAGUCCUAUGUGAAAGCUCCCGGCUCAACUGGGAGAGGGCAUGGGAGACUGGGCGGCUAGAGACUCGGAGGGGGGUGUGGAAUUCCCGGUGGAGUGGUGGAAUGCGUUGAGAUCGGGAGGAACACCAGUAGCGAAGGCGGCACCCUGGCCGAGUUCUGACGCUGAAGCGCGAGAGCGUGGGGAGCGAACG
rnacentral:rRNA from 1 species